GGAUAUCAUCAUAUACUGUAAGUUGGAAUGAGACACUACAGUAUAGAUGAUGUACUA
rnacentral:pre_miRNA from 1 species